rnacentral:rRNA from 1 species
AGUGGGGAAUAUUGCGGCAAUGGAGGAAACUCUGACCCAGCGACGCCGCGUGCGGGAUGAAGGCCUUCGGGUUGUAAACCGCUUUCAGUAGGGAAGAAGCGAAAGUGACGGUACCUACAAAAGAAGCACCGGCUAACUAUGUGCCAGCAGCCGCGGUAAUACAUAGGGUGCAAGCGUUGUCCGGAAUUAUUGGGCGUAAAGAGCUCGUAGGUCGUUUGUUACGUCGGAUGUGAAAACCUGAGGCUCAACCUCAGGCCUGCAUUCGAUACGGGCAAACUAGAGUUUGGUAGGGGAGACUGGAAUUCCUGGUGUAGCGGUGGAAUGCGCAGAUAUCAGGAGGAACACCAAUGGCGAAGGCAGGUCUCUGGGCCAAUACUGACACUCAGGAGCGAAAGUCUGGGGAGCGAAC